UUUAAUAAUAAAUGAUUUAAUUUAAAAACUAAUAAUUAAUAAAUAAAAUAAUGUCGGAUUUAGUAAAAAAAUGCGUAGUUCGCGUCGAAGUCGAAAACAACAACGAAGAGUUGGAAGGAGCCGAAGGUGGUGAUUUAACGAGUUCGAAAAUCCGUCGUCAUCGAAACAUUCGUGGAAUUAGCGUUGAAACGUUUCCGAGUUGAUUAGAAACCCCCAGAAAUGAUUGGGGGCUCCUUCCGGAACAUUCUCGAGAUAACACGAAAUUAUUAACCCUUUCGUUAUUAAGAGCGUACGCAUACGUUUUUGUAUAUGUGGGCUUGCUAAAUGAUCUUGAAAAUACUCCGUAACGAAAGGGUUAAAAGAUAGCUUUGAGGAGAAAAGUGAGAUUGGAUUUUUUAGUGGUAACCCAUUCGUUGAAUUAACUAAAGGAAUUUUGCAUCUAUAUAAAGAAGAUGCCUUAUCGAGUAGCGCCGAAGCGUUAACUUUAUGCAUACUUGGAGUUCCUAAUUCAAUGACUUGCCAUCUUUUAAACUACACAGCUCUGUGUCAUGCCGAAAUAAAUGCGUCAAGUUUGGACUCACUUUAAAGGUUAUUUUAUGAAGAUU